GCGGUAAUACAGAGGGUGCGAGCGUUAAUCGGAUUUACUGGGCGUAAAGCGUGCGUAGGCGGCUUUUUAAGUCGGAUGUGAAAUCCCCGAGCUUAACUUGGGAAUUGCAUUCGAUACUGGGAAGCUAGAGUAUGGGAGAGGAUGGUAGAAUUCCAGGUGUAGCAGUGAAAUGCGUAGAGAUCUGGAGGAAUACCGAUGGCGAAGGCAGCCAUCUGGCCUAAUACUGACGCUGAGGUACGAAAGCAUGGGGAGCAAACAGGAUUAGAUACCCUGGUAGUCCAUGCCGUAAACGAUGUCUACUAGCCGUUGGGGCCUUUGAGGCUUUAGUGGCGCAGCUAACGCGAUAAGUAGACCGCCUGGGGAGUACGGUCGCAAGACUAAAACUCAAAUGAAUUGACGGGGGCCCGCACAAGCGGUGGAGCAUGUGGUUUAAUUCGAUGCAACGCGAAGAACCUUACCUGGCCUUGACAUACUAGAAACUUUCCAGAGAUGGAUUGGUGCCUUCGGGAAUCUAGAUACAGGUGCUGCAUGGCUGUCGUCAGCUCGUGUCGUGAGAUGUUGGGUUAAGUCCCGCAACGAGCACAACCCUUUUCCUUACUUGCCAGCAUUUCGGAUGGGAACUUUAAGGAUACUGCCAGUGACAAACUGGAGGAA
rnacentral:rRNA from 1 species